UAGAGUUUUGUUCAUGGCUCAGAACGAACGCUGGCGGCGUGCCUACACACAUGCAAGUCGAGCGCGAAUAGGGGCAACCCUUAGUAGAGCGGCGCACGGGUGCGUAACACGUGGAUAAUCUGCCUGGAUGCCUGGGAUAACCAGUCGAAAGAUUGGCUAAUACCGGAUAAGCCCACGGUUUCUUCGGAGACUGAGGGAAAAGGUGGCCUCUGUAUACAAGCUAUCACAACCAGAUGAGUCCGCGGCCCAUCAGCUAGUUGGCGGGGUAAUGGCCCACCAAGGCGACGACGGGUAGCUGGUCUGAGAGGACGAUCAGCCACACUGGAACUGAGACACGGUCCAGACUCCUACGGGAGGCAGCAGUGGGGAAUUUUGCGCAAUGGGCGAAAGCCUGACGCAGCAACGCCGCGUGUGUGAUGAAGGUCUUUGGAUUGUAAAGCACUUUCGACCGGGACGAAACCGUAAAGCCUAAUACGCUUUGCCUUGACGGUACCGGGAGAAGAAGCACCGGCUAACUCUGUGCCAGCAGCCGCGGUAAUACAGAGGGUGCAAGCGUUGUUCGGAAUUAUUGGGCGUAAAGCGCGUGUAGGCGGCUUUGCAAGUCGGGUGUGAAAGCCCUCAGCUCAACUGAGGAAGUGCGCCCGAAACUGCAGAGCUUGAGUGCCGGAGAGGGUGGCGGAAUUCCCCAAGUAGAGGUGAAAUUCGUAGAUAUGGGGAGGAACACCGGUGGCGAAGGCGGCCACCUGGACGGUAACUGACGCUGAGACGCGAAAGCGUGGGUAGCAAACAGGAUUAGAUACCCUGGUAGUCCACGCCGUAAACGAUGAGAACUAGGUGUCGUGGGAGUUGACCCCCGCGGUGCCGUAGCUAACGCAUUAAGUUCUCCGCCUGGGAAGUACGGUCGCAAGACUAAAACUCAAAGGAAUUGACGGGGGCCCGCACAAGCGGUGGAGCAUGUGGUUUAAAUUCGACGCAACGCGCAGAACCUUACCUGGUCUUGACAUCCUCGGAUUCCUUCAGAGAUGAGGGA
rnacentral:rRNA from 1 species